UUGAAGCAGGAUUGAAAAACACUGGAUUACACCAACAAAGAGUAUCAUCUCACUACACCUGUUACAUUUGAUUUAUUUCAAUAAGAACACAAAGAGGAAGAGAUGCAUGCUGGGACAGACAUGUCAUGGUAAAUCAAGGAGACAGUGAGGAGACGUGACACAAGGAAACACCGACCACCAGAGCACCAGAUCUUUAUUAUACACAACACCUUUUAUUACCUCACUUCCAAUUCUCAUUGUGCAUUUUGCUCCAAGUCCAUUUUAAAUCGCUACACAGGCACUUGACAAUUUGUUAUUCCAAAAGCAUAAAAAAAAGUCGUUAAAUAUGUCCUCAGUCCCUCACUCCAUACAAAAGGACAGAAUUAUUAGAGGGAGAGACGGGGAUUGGGUCACCAUAACCUUAAAGACCACAGGAAAGUUACGGCUGCAGUGAUUUGGGCUCCAUCCAGUUCUUAACAGAUGCUGAAGUCAUUUGAAUUUGGAAAAGAUAAAGCUGCAUACAAUUUAAAAAGCCUUGAAUUGACUGGGUUGUGAAGAAAGACAUUUGGUAUUUAAAUCCACAGCUAAUUUUUAAGUUUCACCUCAUGUCCGACUCAAAGCCUUCGAUUAUUUACAGACAUAUUGUGCUGAAAUCAAACUCUCUUGCACCAAAUCCCCAUUCUUAUCCUCAAGUUAAUCAAGAAAACAGAAUUUGUCGUGGCCCAUUUCCCUGCGCGCACAUCAAUAAAAGCAAACAUCAAAGAUUCUGCAAUCAUAUCCGGAUCAAUAGGAAACCAGCUGGACCGCUUUCACUCUGAAUUAUGUUCAACUGUUAUUACCGCAACCGACAGGGCACAAAUCUGUCGAUAGCAAAGAAUAUCUGUCGUUCUACACAGAUGCAAACAGUUUGUGAAAAAUGCCGAUUAACACGAAGACGACAAACGCCCAGGUUAUAAAUAAUACACUCAGAAAUACGCGUGUUAGUACAUCUACUAUGAUGUCUACAUGAAAGCCUUUGUUUCACCGUCUUGGUGUCAGAAAGUUCUCUGUGUGUGUGUCAAGUUUGAACGGAGUGGUUCCAUAUAGCAAACGCCCCACGACCCCAAAUACACCUGCAUGUACCAUGUUCAGAGACCCCUUGUUUGAGUGCACUCCCACUUUCCUGCAGCGCCCUGAUGUUUUUCCCGCUCAUAAAUCCCACUCCCCUGACCCUCAUUAUUCCAAGCGAAAUAAAAGCGCCCCAUAAAGCCUUGCAGAUUCAUGUUGCAAUGACCAAAACGCUAAGCUACCAGAUUUGGAGUCGGGUGUUACCUGAGACACUAUCUUACAGAGCGCUGACGGGUCGGACCGUCGCCAAGUGGUCACCGUGCUUUCCAGGAUUAUAUUCAUAUACACAAAUUAUUAUUUGUAUAAACAGAUCAUUACAGAAAUUUGCAUACAAAUUGCGCCU